GUUGUUGAACUAUUGUGAUUUUCAUGUUUCUUCCCUAAGAUGUAGAGUGCUUGCUUUGUUUUAUCUUGAAAAGUGCAUCUUAUGGUUAAUUUCAUUCUAGAUGACACAUAUGCAGCUCUCCAUUAUGAGAACAAUUAACUUUGUUGCGUCAAAGAAAAUGAGACUAAAAUUUGUUUUUUUACAGAUAUGAUUAUAUAACCUAAUCAUACUGGAAAAUUAGCAGCACGGCAUAGUGAUUGGUAUGUCAUUGGGUUUGAUCUUUCUAAAAUCAUUUGCAUUUAUCCUUGAAAAAUCAUAAUAGAAUAAAAUAAGAAAAAGUGCAGUGGAGAUAGAUUCCCCUCCGAUCGUACACAGGGUUUGCGGAAUUUCCUACACCAUGCUUAUGGGGCCUAUAGCGGUCUCCAUUCACCCAAGGGUGAUGACCAUCCCCUAAGGGUUCUGGGAAUCCACCCAUUCUGCCCUGUUCCCCUCACUGGGAAAAAGUUUUUACAUAAGAGUUGAAACAAAUUUUAUGUGUAAGGUUGUUGAGAACAGUUGCCAAGUGCUACUUAUUUUCUUUACUGUAGCACUAAUGUCUUUUGACAGAUUAGCAUCAUGCACUGUAAUGGAAUAUGGUCGAUAAUUUGCUACUGAGUACUGCUCAAUAUGUGAUCCGUGGAUAUUAAAGUAAAGAAGAUGCAUACAUUUGAUCCCAAAGGGAGCAAUGUCUAUAGGGAAUCUCUUAUUAGGGAGACAUAAAAUGGGUCUUGAGACCUCUAUCAUUUUCUACUACUAGUUUGAGGCUAAAACAUGAAGUGGUGCUUUUAGUGAAGAAUCCUGGGAAAAAACCCUUCCUUGUUUAUAAUUUGGGCAGACAUUCCUAGAGUUCAAUAAGUUUGAGCUCAAGUGGUUUCUCUUCACCCAAUGAGACAUGAUGGGAGUAAAGUUGCAAUUUCAAUACCUCCUUGGUGUAUGCCUAACUUACCAAUUAAAACUAUGGAUGAACAUCCUGAGAAGAAUAAAGCAGCCCCAGGUUUGUCACAUAGAGGUAGUUUGAACUGACAUGGUAUUCAUCUCCUCUCUUUUUCUUUUUUAAUGUUUACAUUUUCCAGUCAUCUCCUGUAAAACAAUAAAUCAUUUGAAAACAUAUUCAAUUAAAUGUAGCCAUAGACUAGUGGUGCUUACAAGCAAAUGUACCUCACAUCAAGGACUUCUGGUGUAUGCAUAUUGAUUAAUGGGACAGGGUUAUUGCUGCCUUUGGUGUUACAAAACAGAUAGUUGAUUGGAGAUUUUUUUUUUUUGAUAAAUAAAAUUUUUAUUAAAUCACGUAAUUAGGCAUAGCCCAAGUACACAGGAAGUAUACAAGAGGAAAAGGCCUAAUUACAAACUAAAGCUCAAAAACAGCACAAAAGUCAUUUAGACUAGCCCCAUCCAUUACAAUAAUCGAAGCCCAAGGCAACAAAGUAUGAUAAAAGAAGUCUUUAAUACCUCCCACCGAUCAUUCUCUAUUGUCAAAACAACACUCAUUCCUCUCAUUUCAAAUACACCACAUAAGACAAAGAGGUACUAUCUUCCAAACAACCACCAUUUGACGAUUGCCUUGAAUCCCAUUCCAACAGGCCAGGAGAGUCACCACCCUCUUAGGCAUCGCCCAAGCAAUACCAAGCUUAGCAACAACCUCAUCCCACAAAGCCUUCGACACAUCACAAUGGAGAAGAAGGUGAUCCAUUGAUUCGCCACCCCCUUUGCACAUGAAACACCAGUCCAUUACAAUGAUACCUUGCUUUCUCAAUUUAUCAAUAGUAAGAAUUUUCCCAUGAGAAGCCAACCAACCGAAGAAGACCACCUUGAGAGGCACUUUGCAUCUCCAAAUAUUUUUCCAAGGAAAAAAAUCAGUAGAAGAAUGAGAUGCCAAGAACUUAUACAAAGAUCGAACCGUGAAUCUCUUAUUACCAAGCUGUUUCCAAAGUAAUCUAUCAUCCUCUCUAGACUCUAUUUUGAAAGCAUAAAGCAAAUUGUAAAAAUCAGUAAUGUCCCCCACCUCCCAAUCCUAGACAUCCCUAAUAAAGCUAACUGACCAUUGAAUAAGACCAGUAGUAUUGCCCAUAUAAUCCGCCACAGAAGCAUCAUUAUUCGAGGCAAUUCUAAAAAGAGAAGGGAAAGCAAUCUUCAAAGCCUCAUCUCCAUACCAUAAGUCAUGCCAAAAUCGACAUCAAAACGAU